AGCGUUGUCCGGAAUUAUUGGGCGUAAAGGGCUCGUAGGCGGUUUGUCACGUCGGGGGUGAAAACUCAGGGCUCAACCCUGAGCGUGCUUCCGAUACGGGCAGACUAGAGGUAUGCAGGGGAGAACGGAAUUCCUGGUGUAGCGGUGGAAUGCGCAGAUAUCAGGAGGAACACCGGUGGCGAAGGCGGUUCUCUGGGCAUUACCUGACGCUGAGGAGCGAAAGCAUGGGGAGCGAACAGG
rnacentral:rRNA from 1 species